rnacentral:lncRNA from 1 species
GAGACAGGGUCACACUCUAUUGCCCAGGCUGGAGUGCGGUGGCAUGAUCACGGCUCAGUGCAGCCUUGACCCCCUGAGCUCAAGCGAUCUUCCUGCCUCAGCCUCUCGAGUGGCUGGGACUGCAAGCUGCGCCACCACACCUGGCUUUUUAAACAAAACUUUUAUAGAGAUGGUGGUCCCACUAUGUUGCCCAGGCUGGUCUUGAACUCCUGACCUCAAGCAAUCCUCUGCCUUGGCCUUCCAAAGUGCUGGGAUUACAGGGGUGAGCCACCACGCCCAACCAAAAGCUUUACUUUUUAGUAAUUAUUUUCAUUUUCUUAAAAGAUCACUCCUAUUAAACCCUAUUUUUUUUAAAGCAAGCAUCAAGGAUUUAUUUUAUUUUUUUAGAGACAGAGUCUCAUUCUGUCACCCAGGCUGGAGUGCAGUGGUGUUAUCAUGGCUCACUGCAGCUUCAAACUCCUGGACUCAAGUGAUCCUCCCACCUCACCCUCCUGAGUAGCUGGGACCACAUGCAUGCACCACCAUACCUGGCUAAUUAUUUUAAAUUUUUUGUAGAGAUGGGAUCUUGCUGUGUUGCCCAGGCUGGUCUCAAACUCCUGGCUUCAGGUGAUCCUUCUGCCUCAGCCUCCCAAAGCUCUGGGAUUACAGGUGUGGGCUACCAUGCCCAGCUAGGGAUUUCUUUUAAAAAGCAACAUCACCAGGAGAUGACAGGGUCAAUACCAACUCACUGCUCAAAUCUUCUGAUAAAAUCUCACUCCUUCAUUCAUCUACCCAUCCAUUCAGCCAACAAUUACCUAUCACAUACCUAAUACGUGGCAGGGUGAGGCAGGAGAAUUACUUGAACCCUGGAGGCGGAGGUUACAGUGAGCUGAGAUCCUGCCACUGCACUCCAGCCUGGUGACAGAGUGAGACUCCGUAUCAAAAAAAAA